rnacentral:rRNA from 1 species
AUGAAGGAAUGCCCUCCUCUGCCAUUGGAUCACCUCCAAAUGCUAACAUCUCUGAAGAUUCUCAAAAUAAAUUGCUCAGAUAAUGUUUUGCCACCGAGUGAUGUUGAGACUGGGAGUGAUGGCAUGUACCAGUUACCAAUUGAUACCCUGCAUAUUUGGCGGUGUGGUGCUACUGGGAAGAAGUUGACACAGUUGCUCUCUCAUUUUCCUAAUCUCAGCAAAUUGUCCAUAUCCUAUUGUGCGAAGAUAACAAGGGUUCGUGUGGUGGAGCAGCAGGACAGGACAAGAAUUGCAUCAUCUUCAGCUAAUAAAAUGGAGCAAGCACAAAUUGAACUGCAGCAGCAGCAACAGACAAGAGGAGAGGAGGAAAUAGCAACAGCAGCAGGAGGAGAAGCACUUCUGCUCUUGCCUCCCCAGCUGCAGGAAUUGAAGAUUGACAAUUGCCCAGAGCUGACCCUACUCUCCAGUUCGCUCAACGAUGGCGGACAAGGAGGAUGGCUCCAAGGUCUCCACUCCCUCUGCUCAUUCCGGGUAGAUCAAUGCCCCAAAUUCCUAUCCUCCUAUUCGUCCUCCCUCUCCCCUUGUUUCCUUUUCCCAAUCUCUCUACAAAUCCUCCAUCUUGAAGGAGUGCUGGACAUGGAGACGCUUCAGCCCCUCUCAAACCUCACAUCUCUCACAAAAUUGACCAUAAGUAGAUGUUGGGAUUUAAAAGGCGAGGGAAUAUGGCCUGUCCUUGCCCAUGGCUGCCUCAUGGAAUUAGACCUCCGUUAUGCCCCCAAAUUCUUCGCCAGCUCUGAUCCCCCACCCACGCAUGACAAAGAGCUUCUCUCCAGGAGGAGGUGGAGCGCUUCACUAACGAGCAAGAGGACGCCUUUCAGCUCCUCGCCUCCCUCCAGGACCUCACUUUUAACGAUUUAUGCGAGCUGCAGUGCCUCCCAGCAGGGCUACACAGACUUUCCAGCCUCGAGACAUUACGGAUUCAGUACAGCCAUGCUUUCGAAUCGCUGCCCAAGGACGGCCUUCCGAGUUCUCUGA